CCUACGGGUGGCAGCAGUGAGGAAUAUUGGUCAAUGGCCGGAAGGCUGAUCCAGCCAAGCCGCGUGAAGGACGAAGGUUCCAAGCAUUGUAAACUUCUUUUGUCAAGGGACAAAAUCAGGCGCGAGAGCCUGACCGAGGGUACUUGAAGAAAAAGCAUGCGCUAACUCCGUGCCAGCAGCCGCGGUAAUACGGAGGAUGCGCGCGUUAUCCGGGUUUAUGGGGUGUAAAGGGUGCGUAGGCGGACGGGUAAGUCGGCGGUAAAAGCCCGGGGCUCAACCCCGGCGAGCCGUUGAAACUGGCUGUCUGGAGAUGUCGAGAGGUAGGCGGAAUGCGCAGUGUAGCGGUGAAAUGCUUAGAUAUUGCGAAGAACUCCGAUGGCGAAGGCAGCAUACCGGCGGCGAUCUGACGCUGAGGCACGAAAGCGUGGGUAUCGAACAGGAUUAGAUACCCCUGUAGUC
rnacentral:rRNA from 1 species